GACGGACGCUGGCGGCGUGCUUAACACAUGCAAGUCGAACGGAAAGGCCCUGCUUUUGUGGGGUGCUCGAGUGGCGAACGGGUGAGUAACACGUGAGUAACCUGCCCUUGACUUUGGGAUAACUUCAGGAAACUGGGGCUAAUACCGGAUAGGAGCUCCUGCUGCAUGGUGGGGGUUGGAAAGUUUCGGCGGUUGGGGAUGGACUCGCGGCUUAUCAGCUUGUUGGUGGGGUAGUGGCUUACCAAGGCUUUGACGGGUAGCCGGCCUGAGAGGGUGACCGGCCACAUUGGGACUGAGAUACGGCCCAGACUCCUACGGGAGGCAGCAGUGGGGAAUAUUGCACAAUGGGCGGAAGCCUGAUGCAGCAACGCCGCGUGCGGGAUGACGGCCUUCGGGUUGUAAACCGCUUUCGCCUGUGACGAAGCGUGAGUGACGGUAAUGGGUAAAGAAGCACCGGCUAAUUACGUG
rnacentral:rRNA from 1 species